UACGAAGGGGGGCUAGCGCUGCUCGGAAUCACUGGGCGUAAAGGGUGCGUAGGCGGGUCUUUAAGUCAGGGGGUGAAAUCCUGGAGCUCAACUCCAAAACUGCCUUUGAUACUGAAGAUCUUGAGUUCGGGAGAGGUGAGUGGAACUGCGAGUGUAGAGGUGAAAAUUCGUAGAUAUUCGCAAGAACACCAGUGGCGAAAGGCGGCUCACUGGCCCGAUACUGACGCUGAGA
rnacentral:rRNA from 1 species